rnacentral:rRNA from 1 species
AGAGUUUGAUCCUGGCUCAGGAUGAACGCUGGCGGCGUGCCUAAUACAUGCAAGUCGAACGCACAGCGAAAGGUGCUUGCACCUUUCAAGUGAGUGGCGAACGGGUGAGUAACACGUGGAUAACCUACCUCAAGGUUGGGGAUAACAUUUGGAAACAGAUGCUAAUACCGAAUAAAACUUCGUAUCGCAUGAUACAAGGUUAAAAGGCGCUACGGCGUCACCUAGAGAUGGAUCCGCGGUGCAUUAGUUAGUUGGUGGGGUAAAGGCCUACCAAGACAAUGAUGCAUAGCCGAGUUGAGAGACUGAUCGGCCACAUUGGGACUGAGACACGGCCCAAACUCCUACGGGAGGCUGCAGUAGGGAAUCUUCCACAAUGGGCGAAAGCCUGAUGGAGCAACGCCGCGUGUGUGAUGAAGGCUUUCGGGUCGUAAAGCACUGUUGUAUGGGAAGAACAGCUAGAGUAGGGAAUGACUUUAGUUUGACGGUACCAUACCAGAAAGGGACGGCUAAAUACGUGCCAGCAGCCGCGGUAAUACGUAUGUCCCGAGCGUUAUCCGGAUUUAUUGGGCGUAAAGCGAGCGCAGACGGUUGAUUAAGUCUGAUGUGAAAGCCCGGAGCUCAACUCCGGAAAGGCAUUGGAAACUGGUCAACUUGAGUGCAGUAGAGGUAAGUGGAACUCCAUGUGUAGCGGUGGAAUGCGUAGAUAUAUGGAAGAACACCAGCGGCGAAGGCGGCUUACUGGACUGUAACUGACGUUGAGGCUCGAAAGUGUGGGUAGCAAACAGGAUUAGAUACCCUGGUAGUCCACACCGUAAACGAUG